GGAGACUGAUACCUUUAUGUUGACUCCUACUGAUGAGGAAAGUGACCACCAGCUUCUCUCUCUCAACUAUCAUGUAGCUGAGAGCCAAGAUCAGAAAGGAGGCAAGCAUGGAGACUCAGGCUCAACUAAAACUGCAGAGCCACAUCAACAUAAUCUACAUCACGAAAGCACAAGUCACAGUAACAAUGUAGACAACCCUAACCUGUCAGAGAUGCACUGUGAUACUCACACAGGUAAACAGCCUUUAAAAUGUGACACAUUUGGAAAAGACUUUAAGUAUACAUCAUCACUAGAGACAAAUAUGAGAACCCACACAGGUGAGGAGCCGUUUGCAUGCAAAACAUGUGGGAGAGCUUUCAGAAAUAAUGGUCACUUGGUAAUCCACAUGAGAAGACACACAGGUGAGAAGUCGUUUGCAUGCAAAUCAUGUGGCAAAGCUUUCAGAAAUAAUGGUCACUUGGUAAGGCACAUGAGAACACACACAGGUGAGGAGUCAUUUGCAUGCAAAUCAUGUGGGAAAGCUUUCAGAAAUAAUGGUCACUUGGCAAGGCACAUGAUGACCCACACAGGAGAGAAGCCAUAUUCUUGCAAAACAUGUGGGAAACGAUUUAAUCAGAUGUCAUCAUUGAACUCUCAUAUGAGAACCCACACAGAUGAGAAGGCAUAUUCGUGCAAAACAUGUGGGAAAACUUUUAGAUUUCCUAGUAACUUGAAACACCACAUCAGAUGCCACACAGGUGAGAAGCCACAUUCCUGCAACAAGUGUGGGAAAAGAUUCAUUCAGAAAUCAGCAUUGAACUAUCAUCAUACAAGAACCCACACAGAUGAGAGGCCAUAUUCCUGCAACAAGUGUGGGAAAGGAUUCAUUCAGAAAUCAGCAUUGAACCGUCAUAUAAGAAUCCACACAGGUGAGAAGCCAUAUUCUUGCAAAAUAUGUGAGAAAGGAUUUACUCAUGAAUCAGCAUUGAACCGUCAUACAAGAAUCCACACAGGUGAGAAGCCAUAUUCUUGCAAAAUAUGUGAGAAAGGAUUUACUCAUGAAUCAGCAUUGAACCGUCAUACAAGAAUCCACACAGGUGAGAAGCCAUAUUCUUGUAAAACAUGUGGGAAAACUUUUAGAUUUCCUAGUAACUUGAAACGCCACAUCAGAUGCCACACAGAUGAGAAGCCACAUUCCUGCAACAAGUGUGGGAAAAGAUUCAUUCAGAAAUCAUCAUUGACCUAUCAUCAUACAACAACCCACACAGAUGAGAGGCCAUAUUCUUGCAAAAUAUGUGGGAAAGGAUUUACUCAGAAAUCAGAUAUGAACCGUCAUACAAGAAUCCACACAGGUGAGAAGCCAUAUUCUUGUAAAAAAUGCAAAAAGAAAUUCCUGCGUAAUAGUAACUUGAAAAGCCACAUGAGAACACACACAGGGGAAAAGCUGCAUCACUGCAGCACAGAGGUUCCAGAUAUUAAAGAGUAACUAGGAACUAAAAGGAGUUUGACACUCCUGACUUCAGGGUUACACUCUGUAAUAAGUGUUGGAUCAUACACUAUUUCUACACACUACCUCAGCAAAGCUCGCGCGUAAUGCAUACUGGUACAUGCAGGCAGUCCCUGCACGGCUCCGCGAGCAGGAGAACUCAGCUUUAGGAUUCAGGGGGAUCUAUUGGCAGAAAUGAAAUAUAGUAUUCAUAACUGUUUUCCUUCGUCUAUAAUCACCUGAAACUAAGAAUCGUUGUGUUUUAAUUAGAUUAGAAUGAUACCCUUCAUAUCUACAUGAGGAGCGUGUCCUCUUCCACUUAGACCGCCAUGUUGCCUCUUUAGUAUCCCAGAACAGACGAACCAAACUCUGCUCUAGAAAAGGUCUUUCCUGUUUUUAUGUUACCGGAAGCCACUGUAGUUUCUCUCCAUGCUUGGAAAAGGAGGUGAGCGGAGGAGUAUUCAGUUAGUUGCACCUGCAACCUCACCGCUAGAUGCCACUAAAUCCUACACACUGGAUCUUUCUAAGGGGAAAGUUAAUGUUGUAACUGACAAUGAUGAACAAACUGUUAACCAAGAUGAAUGUUACUGCAUUGUAUGCAACUUUUUAAUCAACUGUGACACUGAGCAUGGAUGAUGGUAGCAACACUGUUAAUAUGAUUUGUUAUACUGCUGCACAUUGUUUGAAGACUGACUGUGACAACAUAUUGCUGAAAAGGCCAGAAGAUAUAGAAGCUUAAGGAGAACGUAUUCAUAUCACACAUGUUUGUUACCAAGGUAGAAUGGGGCAUCACAUUUUACGGUUUGUAAAUAAUGAAUGUGUGUAUACGUUGUCUUGAAGAGAUGCUGUCAAGUCAUUUCUUUCUAAAUGCUGCAAACACAUUGUGAUUGUGCAUACCAAUCAAAUGUUAAUGUUCAUUAAUAUUUUCUUAUUUGUUUUUUCAGUCAAUUAUUUUUUUGUAAAUGCAUUUGUAUGAACAUGGAGAUUAUGGUAUAUGUUUUUCAUGCCAAGUAAUUACAAUAAA